rnacentral:rRNA from 1 species
GACGAACGCUGGCGGCGGGCUUAACACAUGCAAGUCGAACGGAAAGGCCCUGCUUUUGUGUGGUGCUCGAGUGGCGAACGGGUGAGUAACACGUGAGUAACCUGCCCCUGACUUUGGGAUAACUUCAGGAAACUGGGGCUAAUACCGGAUAGCAGCUCCUGCUGCAUGGUGGGGGUUGGACAGUUUCGGCGGAUGGGGAUGGACUCGCGGCUUAUGAGCUUGUUGGUGGGGUAGUGGCUUACCAAGGCUUUGAUGGCUAGCCGGCCUGAGAGGGUGAACGGGCACAUGGGGACUGAGAUACGGACCAGACGGGUACGGGAGGCAGCAGGGGGAAAUAUUGCACAAUGGGGGGGAGCCUGAUGCAGAGGCGCCGCGAGCGGGAUGACGGUCUUCUGGGUGUAAACCGCUUUCACCUAUGACGAAGCGUGUGUGACGGUAAUGGGUAAAGAAGCACCGGCUAACUACGUG